GAAAUGCGAAGAUAUAUGGAAGAACACCAGUGGCGAAGGCGGCUGUCUGGUCUGUAACUGACGCUGAGGCUCGAAAGCAUGGGUAGCGAACAGGAUUAGAUACCCUGGUAGUCCAUGCCGUAAACGAUGAAUGCUAGGUGUUGGAGGGUUUCCGCCCUUCAGUGCCGCAGCUAACGCAUUAAGCAUUCCGCCUGGGGAGUACGACCGCAAGGUUGAAACUCAAAGGAAUUGACGGGGGCCCGCACAAGCGGUGGAGCAUGUGGUUUAAUUCGAAGCAACGCGAAGAACCUUACCAGGUCUUGACAUCUUUUGAUCACCUGAGAGAUCAGGUUUCCCCUUCGGGGGCAAAAUGACAGGUGGUGCAUGGUUGUCGUCAGCUCGUGUCGUGAGAUGUUGGGUUAAGUCCCGCAACGAGCGCAACCCUUAUGACUAGUUGCCAGCAUUUAGUUGGGCACUCUAGUAAGACUGCCGGUGACAAACCGGAGGAAGGUGGGGAUGACGUCAAAUCAUCAUGCCCCUUAUGACCUGGGCUACACACGUGCUACAAUGGAUGGUACAACGAGUUGCGAGACCGCGAGGUCAAGCUAAUCUCUUAAAGCCAUUCUCAGCUC
rnacentral:rRNA from 2 species